rnacentral:rRNA from 1 species
GGGUGCAAUCAUACCAGUGUUAAUGCACCAGAUCCCAUCGGAACUCCGCAGUUAAGCGCGCUUGGGCUGGAGUAGUUUUGGGAUGGGUGACCUCCAAGGAAGUCCUCGUGUUGCACCCU